rnacentral:rRNA from 1 species
UUUAUUGGAGAGUUUGAUCCUGGCUCAGGAUGAACGCUGGCGGCGUGCCUAAUACAUGCAAGUCGAGCGAAUGGAUUGAGAGCUUGCUCUCAAGAAGUUAGCGGCGGACGGGUGAGUAACACGUGGGUAACCUGCCCAUAAGACUGGGAUAACUCCGGGAAACCGGGGCUAAUACCGGAUAACAUUUUGAACUGCAUGGUUCGAAAUUGAAAGGCGGCUUCGGCUGUCACUUAUGGAUGGACCCGCGUCGCAUUAGCUAGUUGGUGAGGUAAUGGCUCACCAAGGCAACGAUGCGUAGCCGACCUGAGAGGGUGAUCGGCCACACUGGGACUGAGACACGGCCCAGACUCCUACGGGAGGCAGCAGUAGGGAAUCUUCCGCAAUGGACGAAAGUCUGACGGAGCAACGC